GAUGAACGCUAGCGGCAGGCUUAAUACAUGCAAGUCGAGGGGCAGCAGGACUGUAGCAAUACAGUUGCUGGCGACCGGCAAACGGGUGCGGAACACGUACGCAACCUGCCCAAAACUGGGGGAUAGCCCGGGGAAACCCGGAUUAAUACCUCGUAACCUUUUUAAGUGGCAUCACUUGAUAAGUAUAGCUCCGGCGGUUUUGGAUGGGCGUGCGCCUGAUUAGGUAGUUGGUGCGGGUAACGGCCCACCAAGCCUGCGAUCAGUAACUGGUGUGAGAGCACGACCAGUCACACGGGCACUGAGACACGGGCCCGACUCCUACGGGAGGCAGCAGUAAGGAAUAUUGAUCAAUGGACGCAAGUCUGAACCAGCCAUGCCGCGUGAAGGAUGAAGGUCCUCUGGAUUGUAAACUUCUUUUAUGGGGGACGAAACCCGGAUAUUCUUAUCCGAUUGACGGUACCUCAGGAAUAAGCACCGGCUAACUCCGUG
rnacentral:rRNA from 1 species